rnacentral:rRNA from 1 species
UACGGGGGGAGCAAGCGUUGUUCGGAUUUACUGGGCGUAAAGGGCGCGUAGGCGGCCACCGCAAGUCAAUUGUGAAAUCUCCGGGCUUAACUCGGAAAGGUCAACUGAUACUGCGGGGCUAGAGUGCGGAAGGGGCAACUGGAAUUCUCGGUGUAGCGGUGAAAUGCGCAGAUAUCAGGAGGAACACCAGCGGCGAAGGCGGCGCUCGUGGGCCGGAACUGACGCUGAGGAGCGAAAGCGUGGGGAGCAAACAGG